UACAGAGGUCUCAAGCGUUGUUCGGAUUCAUUGGGCGUAAAGGGUGCGUAGGUGGCGCUGUAAGUCGGGUGUGAAAUUUCGGAGCUUAACUCCGAAACUGCAUUCGAUACUGCGGUGCUUGAGGACUGGAGAGGAGACUGGAAUUUACGGUGUAGCAGUGAAAUGCGUAGAUAUCGUAAGGAAGACCAGUGGCGAAGGCGGAUCUCUGGACAGUUACUGACACUGAGGCACGAAGGCCAGGGGAGCAGACGGG
rnacentral:rRNA from 1 species